rnacentral:lncRNA from 1 species
ACAUCUUCAGUGUUUGACUCACUGCAAAGCCCAGCCUCCCUAUUGAGAAGCAGUCAAGGUACUGCGAUGUAGCUCCCAUGUUGAAAAACGAUCUCAGACCAACUCUGAGACAAGGAAUGCCUCCGGGUAUGCCCAAUUCUCAUUCAUGUUACUAUUCUAGGGAGACAGAGUGGGGGCCUAACGUCUAGUGGAGGAGAGAGACGUGAAUAAAUGUACGUAACAAGAGGCAUCUAAAAAAGUGACCUUGGGGGGAAAACUGAAGAUAGCAAAAAGCGGUUGACCACAACUCUGUCAUCUAGAUAUCUAUCACCAACUCUAAAAUGUGUGUAGUCAACAAAUGCUGUGAAGCUACAUUCACAAUUUGUAUGGAUGAGCCGUCUGAUUGGAAUAAGACUCAGAUGUGGAAGGUACAAGCUCUUCAAGAUGAGUGACCCUUCCAGUAGGUGAGGGUCUGCACUCUGUGCCAGUUAAAAGAUAGCUCCACAAGGCAAAUCAGUGUGCUCUGACCCAAAGGAAGUGCAAGGAAAAAGAACAGCUGCCCACUGUGGACUUCUGGACAUCCCAUCUUCUAAGACUUUAAAGGACUUGCAUCUACUUUUGUUAAUCUACAAGCAUUCUUGGUAAAUAUCAGAUACACAAUACUAGCUUUUCUCAUACGUCACAAUGGAAGAAAAGGUAAAAUCAAGACUCAUGCAUUUAACAUUAAUCUCUAGGAAAAAAACCAGGAUGGCUAAUUAAGCAGAUGACGUGAAAAGGAGAAAAGAAAGAAAAGAUGACUAUACUAGGCAAAACAGCUUUACUAAGAACAUAAACUAAGCGAACAUAGUUGUUUUUGUUGAUCAGGAGCUAUGCUGGUAAAUGAAAGAAAUGUGAGUGUGGGCUCCGCCUG